rnacentral:rRNA from 1 species
AACGAACGCUGGCGGCAUGCCUAACACAUGCAAGUCGAACGAGACCUUCGGGUCUAGUGGCGCACGGGUGCGUAACGCGUGGGAACCUGCCCUUAGGUUCGGAAUAACUCCCCGAAAGGGGUGCUAAUACCGGAUAAUGUCUUCGGACCAAAGAUUUAUCGCCUUUGUAUGGGCCCGCGUUGGAUUAGCUAGUUGGUAGGGUAAAAGCCUACCAAGGCGACGAUCCAUAGCUGGUCUGAGAGGAUGGUCAGCCACACUGGGACUGAGACACGGCCCAGACUCCUACGGGAGGCAGCAGUGGGGAAUAUUGGACAAUGGGCGAAAGCCUGAUCCAGCAAUGCCGCGUGAGUGAUGAAGGCCUUAGGGUUGUAAAGCUCUUUUACCCGGGAUGAUAAUGACGGUACCGGGAGAAUAAGCUCCGGCUAACUCCGUG